rnacentral:lncRNA from 1 species
GCACCUGCGAAUAGAAGGGAGGCCAUAUCCUGGAGACUAAUUUGGUGGUUUAACUUGGUAAAGAUGGGAGGGAUCAGCUUCCAUGCACUUGUUUCUCCUUGAGAGUUAGUGCCAAUCUCCAGUCUCUGAGGUAUCUGUAGAGGAACCCUGGCACAACAAGGAAUUUGCUGCUCAAGGACAGGAGUUGAAAAUGAAUGCAAAUUUUGAUCUCUGGUUUGCUGACAUGCUCUAUGUUGCUGUUAUUCCUACUGCUUGGACAACUGGCUACUGACCAUUCUGUGAAUAAAAGAGCCAUGGAGAAUGUUCUUUCAGCAUUCAGAUGCGUGGAAGUAUAAAAGAAAUUUCAACUAUUCCAAGAAACAGAAUUUGACAGAAGGCACCAAGUGGAAGAGUCUGGAAUAGUUACGACUUCAUUUACAGCUUUUCAGCCAUAGAUGUAAAGAAGAAAGGAUAGUUUUCAGACAUGUUGUUGAAGAAUGGGAAUGAGGAAUUGUCUUAAAAACUUUGCUGACUGCUUAUCUACAGGGAGAAAAGUGGUGGAGUUUGGGGGGAGUUCAGUUAAGGCAUUAAGGGCAUGAGGUCCAUCAGGCUUGGCCAAACCUGAAAUUUGAGUUUCUGAAAAAAGAGGGGAAUGGAUAGGAAUUGUGGGUCUAUGAGAGGUGAAAGGGAGCAGUGGCUGCUUGAAAUGGGGUGGAGAGCUCUGAACAAAGGGUAUCAGCUCAGGCCAGAGAAGAUCAGAUCACGUUGAAGGUCAUUAUGUGUUUGAGUGGAGCAGUUGCAGUAGACGACAGAAGUGACAUUUGAGGGGAUCUUACAAUAUGGAACAGAAACCGAAGUUGGAGUUAUUGAGAAGGCUUGUAAGUACAAAGAAGAUCAAGGUAAUUGGUUAUUGAGUCAGUGGAAUCAUACAGGAACAAGGAAGGUUUAUUUUAUGGCGAUGCCACCAAGUUCUAAAGUAAAAAAAAUAUACUCUUUUUUUAGCACAUGGGAAUAGGUUUUUUUAACAAGACAAGGAGUCAGUGUUAGAGCAAUGGUUAGAAUUACUGGACAACACCUCAG